rnacentral:rRNA from 1 species
ACUGAAACAUCUAAGUAGCUGCAGGAAAAUAAAUCAACCGAGAUUCCCAAAGUAGUGGCGAGCGAAAUGGGAAGAGCCUGUACGUGAUAGUCGGACUGAUAGUGGAAUGCUCUGGAAAUGGCAGCCAUAGCGGGUGAUAGCCCCGUACACGAAAUCAGACCGGUGGUACUAAGCGUACGACAAGUAGGGCGGGACACGAGAAAUCCUGUCUGAAUAUGGGGGGACCAUCCUCCAAGGCUAAAUACUCGUAAUCGA